CUCACACUCCGGCGGAGGCUCCCUCACUGCCGCUCCCCGGGGAGAGGAAGAAAGGCGGACGCUAAAGAGCCUUCUAGAAGACGGCUGCCUCUCACAUUUACUUCCAGACUCGGACGGGAUAAUAAACAGGAUAAGAAGAUGAAGACAUCAGGGACUGGGAAGCUGAUCAGAGUUGGGAGAUGGAAGACCAUCCAGAACAAGCCUGGAGGAAAACGUGGUAGAGUCUAAGGCAGAGGUUCACAGCUACACUGAGCCUGCAGCAUAUCAGCAGUGAUAUGAUGGAUAACUUGGAUCAAAAUAUAUUCUAAAAUGGCCCAUUCAAAGUCCAGACACUGAUCUGUGGGAUCUCCAUCUACUCUGACUGAGCUUGAGCUGUGUUGCUUGUUUCUAUCAAGCAACACAAGACAAGCAACAAUAAAAUCCUAAUGAAAUACAUUCAAGUUUCUAGCUGUAAAAUUAAAAAA